UACAGAGGGGGCAAGCGUUGUUCGGAAUUACUGGGCGUAAAGGGCUCGUAGGCGGCCAACUAAGUCAGACGUGAAAUCCCUCGGCUUAACCGGGGAACUGCGUCUGAUACUGGAUGGCUUGAGUUCGGGAGAGGGAUGCGGAAUUCCAGGUGUAGCGGUGAAAUGCGUAGAUAUCUGGAGGAACACCGGUGGCGAAGGCGGCAUCCUGGGCCGACACUGACGCUGAGGAGCGAAAGCCAGGGGAGCAAACGGG
rnacentral:rRNA from 1 species